rnacentral:rRNA from 1 species
UCGAGAAUCAUUCACAAUGGGGGAAACCCUGAUGGUGCGACGCCGCGUGGGGGAAUGAAGGUCUUCGGAUUGUAAACCCCUGUCAUGUGGGAGCAAAUUAAAAGAUAGUACCACAAGAGGAAGAGACGGCUAACUCUGUGCC